CCUACGGGAGGCAGCAGUGAGGACUAUUGGUCAAUGGGCUUAAGCCUGAACCAGCCAAAUCGCGUGAGGGAAGACUGCCCUAUGGGUUGUAAACCUCUUUUGUCAGGGAGCAAUUGGCGCUACGUGUAGCGUUAUCGAGAGUAACUGAAGAAAAAGCAUCGGCUAACUCCGUGCCAGCAGCCGCGGUAAUACGGAGGAUGCGAGCGUUAUCCGGAUUUAUUGGGUUUAAAGGGUGCGUAGGCGGCCUUUUAAGUCAGCGGUGAAAGUCUGUGGCUCAACCAUAGAAUUGCCGUUGAAACUGGUAGGCUUGAGUAUGUUUGAGGCAGGCGGAAUGCGUGGUGUAGCGGUGAAAUGCUUAGAUAUCACGCAGAACCCCGAUUGCGAAGGCAGCCUGCCAAGCCAUGACUGACGCUGAUGCACGAAAGCGUGGGGAUCAAACAGGAUUAGAUACCCUUGUAGUC
rnacentral:rRNA from 1 species